GUCAGGGAUCCGGGUCUGUUAGGAUCACUCCGCCCUCUGCGGGUGUCCCGUAUGAUUGAACACGCGCUCUCUUCAUGCUCGUUACACUGACGUAAUGUGUUUUCAUAGAGCUGAUUGGCUGAUUCCUGUGGCAGAUGACAGAGAGAGGAGUGCGUGAUGGAUCCGUCCGUCUCCUCAGCUGAAGUGUUUGGACAGGCUGAUGUCCACACAGCACCUGAUCGUCCUCCUGAUAGAGCGACACUAAUCUUCUUAUCAUGUGUUACCUGGAUGGAUGCACAAUGUCCACUGUCUGCAAGCAUCAGAUACUGCUGCUGUUUGUUCCAGUUCAUCUCUGACAGUUUGUUAUAUUUACACGUCAGUGAGUGAAAUCCUUUAAGAUGCUGAUAAUCUAAAUAUUAACACGUUUUCUUCUGCGUCUUUUUCUACACAUUUUAAAACAUAUUUGGUUUAAACUGGUGUAAGAUAAAUAAACUUUCACUUAAUGUUAAGAAAACAAACCUAUAAAUGUUUAGAAGAUAAACUCCAACACACCUGCCAGUGAUGAGUUGAACUGGAGAUUG